UCGAGAAUUGGCCGCAACAGAUUGGCGUGCCUGAUAGGGAAAGAAAAUCCAAUCAUCAUGGCGAAAAUGAAAGCCCGAAACAUUUCCACCAGCUCUAUCCGGCAAUCUUUCCGUCGGAAAGAUCUCCCAUCUCCACCAGCAGAGCCCAGAUCCUUCUUUCUGGUCAUCACCGCGGACCCUCAGCAAUUUGCUGCUUUAGUGCAGCAGGUGAAAACACUGACGAAGGCAAUACAC
rnacentral:lncRNA from 1 species